rnacentral:lncRNA from 1 species
GUCACCUAGACUGCCACACAGAUGCCAGUUCAGUUUCUUUUCUCACCACCCAAAAACCCUGAUUUUGUUCAAGGAUUCCUGCUUUCUCCACACAGCGUAUGAUUCAGAGGAUGCAGCAAACCCUCCCAGCUCUAGCAAUGUGAACCAAUUGUAGCAAUUAAUAGCACUGGCAGUGAUUUAUUUAGGUGACGACACCUCCACUUCACCUGGAUAUGGCACUGAAAUUCCAGCAACCACCUUGUGACAAGCGUGAGGAUGAAAACAUCACACCCAGAAGGACAAAGCUAAGACAGUCAUGCCCAGAUACCAGAGGUACUGUGAGUAGUGCUUGGUCCUACCUGUGGAUCUCUUGUUUUAUUAAGUAAUAAACCCUCUUAUCGUUUUAACCAAUUUUUAUCAAAGCUUUGUUUUAUGUGCUGCUGAAAUCUUCCUGACUGAUAAACUACCACGAAAUUCAUCCCAAACCAAGGAAGAGAAUCUUUGCUUUCCCUAUCAAGCAAGAGGCAGUGAAUUCUAUAAACAUUUGCCACUUUUCUACAUGAC